rnacentral:misc_RNA from 1 species
AGAUCCUUCACCUAUGAACAGCUAUGCACCUGAAGGAAGAGAUCCCUAUCAGGGAGGAAGAGGUCCAAUGCCUUCUCAUCAAGGAAACUUCAACCAAAGGGGGCAGGGAAGUUAUAACCAUGAUGUGCAAGGAAAUUACCAGCCCCAAGGACAACAGAGAGAUUAUGUGCCUCCACCAGGCCAGGGUAAUUCUGGUACUGGUUUCAAUCCUGCGCAGGGUGGACCUUAUGGGCAAGGCGGGUAUCCUG